CUCAACUCUACCUGACAGUUUAAAAAGAAGAAAUGUAACUAGCCUUUAUUGUAAAAAAUGUACUACCACUGGAAAGAUUCUAAAGAAAAAUCCAGCAAAAUAUGCUACCUGGUUUGCUCACCAUCAAGAAAAUGGAUGUACAAUAAACUAUGAUGGGACAUCUGGGAUGAUGGAGUCAGAAGCUGCUGUAAAAAUAUGGCAAAUAUCACUUGCUUUGCUUAACUUCAGGUACACAACCAUGGCAGGAGAUGGCCUAUGAACAAAACAAAACUUUGAAUUAUAAUGGCAAAGUAAUGAUAAAAAAGAGGAGUGUCUCAAUCAUGUCUCCAAACAUCUUGGAACUGCACUUCGAAAUCUAGUCCAGGAUCUAUCUAAAAAAAAAAAUUACUAUUGGAGGAAGAAAACCUGGCAGUCUCACCACAGAAAAAAUUAAAACUCUCAGCAAAUAUUAUGGGGAGCUGUACGCAGUAACAGAACAGCUGAAGAAAUGAAGAAGGCUAUUCUUGCCUCUCUGUACCAUAAUUAUUCCAUAUAAUGACUGCCCUUAGUAUCAGUACUAUCCACCUGGUUCUUCAUCAUGGUGCUUUUAUAAAAGGGAUGUUUCUGAGCACAAAUAUCCAGGUGGUCACGGUAAAAGAAUUCACACAUAUCUAGAUUUUGAAAGACUGCACAAACAUAUAUUUCCUGUAUAUGAACGACUGACUGACCUCAAGAUGUGAACUAAAUGCUAAAUGAAAAUCUCCACCAUGUAAUUUGGUCUUGAUGCAGCAAGGCUAGCUCUCAUAGCAAAUCUAAUGCUCAAUUUGCUGCUCUGACAGCCAUUGCGGAAUACAAUUUUGGACCAUCCUAUGCUAGAGCAUUUUACCGAACUGUCAGUGGGCAACAUACAAACAGAUUGUGCUUGCAUUGUGAAAAAAAAAGUUUACGACAUGCACAAAAUUAUCAUGACAAGAGAGAAAACUACUGGAGGCAAAAAAAGAAAUGGGCAGUUUUGAAAGCCCAACAGGAAUACAGAAAAGCAGCAUGGAACCCUUGGCUAUGGUGCUGGAUAAUUUUAAAGGAUUUUUAUCAUGAAUAGGAUGCAUGUACAUAUUUCACU
rnacentral:sRNA from 1 species